AUCUUGCGCAAUGGGCGAAAGCCUGACGCAGCGACGCCGCGUGGGGGAGGAAGGUUUUCGGAUCGUAAACCCCUGUUGCCCGGGACGAAUCCCUGGUUUCGACCAGGUUGACGGUACCGGGUGAGGAAGCACCGGCUAACUCCGUGCCAGCAGCCGCGGUAAUACGGAGGGUGCGAGCGUUGUCCGGAAUUACUGGGCGUAAAGGGCUCGUAGGCGGCCAACUAAGUCAGACGUGAAAUCCCCAGGCUCAACCUGGGAACUGCGUCUGAUACUGGAUGGCUUGAAUCCGGGAGAGGGAUGCAGAAUUCCAGGUGUAGCGGUGAAAUGCGUAGAUAUCUGGAGGAAUACCGGUGGCGAAGGCGGCAUCCUGGACCGGCAUUGACGCUGAGGAGCGAAAGCUAGGGGAGCAAAC
rnacentral:rRNA from 1 species